GCCUUCGUGGUGUAGUGGUCAGCACACUCGAUGCGUAAUCGAGAGGUCCGUGGUUCGAAUCCCGAUGAGGGCC
rnacentral:tRNA from 1 species